CCUACGGGAGGCAGCAGUGGGGGAUAUUGCACAAUGGGGGAAACCCUGAUGCAGCGACGCCGCGUGUAGGAAGACGGUCCUCUGGAUUGUAAACUACUGUCCCCAGGGACGAAGAUGACGGUACCCCUUUAGGAAGCCACGGCUAACUACGUGCCAGCAGCCGCGGUAAUACGUAGGUGGCGAGCGUUGUCCGGAAUUACUGGGUGUAAAGGGAGUGUAGGCGGGAAAGCAAGUCAGAAGUGAAAACUAUGGGCUUAACCCAUAGCCUGCUUUUGAAACUGUUUUUCUUGAGUGAAGUAGAGGCAAGCGGAAUGCCUAGUGUAGCGGUGAAAUGCGUAGAUAUUAGGAGGAACACCAGUGGCGAAGGCGACUUGCUGGGCUUUUACUGACGCUGAGGCUCGAAAGCGUGGGGAGCAAACAGGAUUAGAUACCCUUGUAGUC
rnacentral:rRNA from 1 species